AGUUCGAUUAUGGCUCAGAUUGAACGCUGGUGGGAUGCUUUACAUGCAAGUCGAACGGCAGCACGGACUUCGGUCUGGUGGCGAGUGGCGAACGGGUGAGUAAUGUAUCGGAACGUGCCCUAGUAGCGGGGGACAACUACGCGAAAGCGUGGCUAAUACCGCAUACGCCCUUCGAGAAAGCGGGGGACCUUCGGGCCUCGCACUAUUAGAGCGGCCGAUAUCGGAUUAGCUAGUUGGUGGGGUAACGGCUCACCAAGGCGACGAUCCGUAGCUGGUUUGAGAGGACGACCAGCCACACUGGGACUGAGACACGGCCCAGACUCCUACGGGAGGCAGCAGUGGGGAAUUUUUGGACAAUGGGAAACCCUGAUCCAGCCAUCCCGCGUGUGCGAUGAAGGCCUUCGGGUUGUAAAGCACUUUUGGCAGGAAAAAAACGGCACGGGAUAAUACCCCGUGCAACUGACAACAGAAUAGCGCAGCUAACUACGUGCCAGCAACCGCGGUAAUACGUAAGUGCAAGCGUUAAUCGGAAUUACUGGGCGUAAAGCGUGCGCAGGCGGUUCGGAAGAAGAUGUGAAAAUCCCAGAGCUUAACUUUGGAACUGCAUUUUUAACUGCCGAGCUAGAGCGUGUCAGGGAGGUGGAAUUCCGCGUGUAGCAGUGAAAUGCGUAGAUAUGCGGAGGAACACAGAUGGCGAAGGCAGCCUCCUGGGAUAACACUGACGCUCAUGCACGAAAGCGUGGGAGCAAACAGGAUUAGAUACCCUGGUAGUCCUCUCCCUAAACGAUGUCAACUAGCUGUUGGGGCCUUCGGGCCUUGGUAGCGCAGCUAACGCGUGAAGUUGACCGCCUGGGGAGUACGGUCGCAAGAUUAAAACUCAAAGGGUGACGGGGACCCGCACAAGCGGUGGAUGAUGUGGAUUAAUUCGAUGCAACGCGAAAAACCUUACCUACCCUUGACAUGUCUGGAAUCCCGAGAUUUGGGAGUGCUCGCAAGAGAACCGGAACACAGGUGCUGCAUGGCUGUCGUCAGCUCUGUCGUGAGAUGUUGGGUUAAGUCCCGCAACAGGCGCAACCCUUGUCAUUAGUUGCUGCGAAGGGCACUAAUGAGACUGCCGGUGACAAACCGGAGGAAGGUGGGGAUGACGUCAAGUCCUCGCGGCCCUUAUGGGUAGGGCUUCACACGUCAUACAAUGGUCGGGACAGAGGGUCGCCAACCCGCGAGGGAGCCAAUCCCAGAAACCCGAUCGUAGUCCGGAUCGCAGUCUGCAACUCGACUGCGUGAAGUCGGAAUCGCUAGUAAUCGCGGAUCAGCAUGUCGCGGUGAAUACGUUCCCGGGUCUUGUACACACCGCCCGUCACACCAUGGGAGUGGGUUUACCAGAAGUAGUUAGCCUAACCGUAAGGAGGCGAUUACCACGGUAGGAUUCAUGACUGGGGUGAAGUCGUAACUAAAGGUAA
rnacentral:rRNA from 1 species